rnacentral:ncRNA from 1 species
UGAAGGUUCGCAUAGCCGCGAUUAAUUGGGAACAGGGGUGUGAAUCCCCGACUGUCCCGCAGCAGUGAACUCCGUUCUAACUGACCGACACGAUGUCAUUGUCCGUAAGGAUGAGAAGACGUCGGAAAGUGGAGUAAGUCUGAAGACCAGCCUUUUCGGUUA